rnacentral:rRNA from 1 species
GCGAACGCUGGCGGCAGGCUUAACACAUGCAAGUCGAGCGGGCAUAGCAAUAUGUCAGCGGCAGACGGGUGAGUAACGCGUGGGAACGUACCUUUUGGUUCGGAACAACACAGGGAAACUUGUGCUAAUACCGGAUAAGCCCUUACGGGGAAAGAUUUAUCGCCGAAAGAUCGGCCCGCGUCUGAUUAGCUAGUUGGUGAGGUAAUGGCUCACCAAGGCGACGAUCAGUAGCUGGUCUGAGAGGAUGAUCAGCCACAUUGGGACUGAGACACGGCCCAAACUCCUACGGGAGGCAGCAGUGGGGAAUAUUGGACAAUGGGCGCAAGCCUGAUCCAGCCAUGCCGCGUGAGUGAUGAAGGCCCUAGGGUUGUAAAGCUCUUUUGUGCGGGAAGAUAAUGACGGUACCGCAAGAAUAAGCCCCGGCUAACUUCGUG